CAGAGUGACAGGUGGUGCAUGGUUGUCGUCAGCUCGUGUCGUGAGAUGUUGGGUUAAGUCCCGCAACGAGCGCAACCCUUGAUCUUAGUUGCCAGCAUUCAGUUGGGCACUCUAAGGUGACUGCCGGUGACAAACCGGAGGAAGGUGGGGAUGACGUCAAAUCAUCAUGCCCCUUAUGACCUGGGCUACACACGUGCUACAAUGGGCAGAACAAAGGGCAGCGAAGCCGCGAGGCUAAGCCAAUCCCACAAAUCUGUUCUCAGUUCGGAUCGCAGUCUGCAACUCGACUGCGUGAAGCUGGAAUCGCUAGUAAUCGCGGAUCAGCAUGCCGCGGUGAAUACGUUCCCGGGCCUUGUACACACCGCCCGUCACACCACGAGAGUUUGUAACACCCGAAGUCGGUGAGGUAACCUUUUGGAGCCAGCCGCCGGAGGUGGGACAGA
rnacentral:rRNA from 1 species